GACGAACGCUGGCGGCGUGCUUAACACAUGCAAGUCGAGCGGUAAGGCCCUUUCGGGGGUACACGAGCGGCGAACGGGUGAGUAACACGUGGGUGACCUGCCCUCAGCUCUGGGAUAAGCCUGGGAAACCGGGUCUAAUACCGGAUAUGACUCCAUGACGCAUGUUGUGGGGUGGAAAGCCUUGUGCGGCUGAGGAUGGGCCCGCGGCCUAUCAGCUUGUUGGUGGGGUGAUGGCCUACCAAGGCGACGACGGGUAGCCGGCCUGAGAGGGCGACCGGCCACACUGGGACUGAGACACGGCCCAGACUCCUACGGGAGGCAGCAGUGGGGAAUCUUGCGCAAUGGGCGAAAGCCUGACGCAGCGACGCCGCGUGAGGGAUGACGGCCUGUGUAACU
rnacentral:rRNA from 1 species